rnacentral:rRNA from 1 species
AGCGAACGCUGGCGGCAGGCUUAACACAUGCAAGUCGAACGGGCAUCUUCGGAUGUCAGUGGCAGACGGGUGAGUAACACGUUGGAACGUACCCUUCGGUUCGGAAUAACUCAGGGAAACUUGAGCUAAUACCGGAUACGCCCUUUUGGGGUAAGGUUUACUGCCUAAGGAUCGGCCCGCGUCUGAUUUGCUUGUUGUUGGGGUAACGGCCUACCAAGGCGACGAUCAGUAUCUGGUCUGAGAGGAUGAUCAGCCACACUGGGACUGAGACACGGCCCAGACUCCUACGGGAGGCAGCAGUGGGGAAUAUUGGAAAAUGGGCGCAAGCCUGAUACAGCCAUGCCGCGUGAGUGAUGAAGGCCUUAGGGUUGUAAAGCUCUUUUGUCCGGGACGAUAAUGACGGUACCGGAAGAAUAAGCCCCGGCUAACUUCGUG